rnacentral:rRNA from 1 species
GAAGGGAAANCCGUUAAGCCCNCUGCCUGGGGAGUACGNCCGCAAGGCUGAAACUUAAAGGAAUUGGCGGGGGAGCACUACAAGGGGUGGAGCGUNCGNUUUAAUUNGAUUCAACGCCGGGAACCUCACCGGGGGCGACGCCGGGGUGAAGCCCAGGCUGAAGGUCUUGCCGGACACGCCGAGAGGAGGUGCAUGGCCGCCGUCAGCUCGUACCGUGAGGCGUCCACUUAAGUGUGGUAACGAGCGAGACCCGCGCCCCCAGUUGCCAGUCCUCCCCGCUGGGGAGGAGGCACUCUGGGGGGACCGCCGGCGAUAAGCCGGAGGAAGGAGCGGGCGACGGUAGGUCAGUAUGCCCCGAAACCCCCGGGCUACCCGCGCGCUACAAUGGGCGGGACAAUGGGAUCCGACCCCGAAAGGGGAAGGGAAUCCCCUAAACCCGCCCCCAGUUCGGAUCGCGGGCUGCAACUCGNCCGCGUGAAGCUGGAAUUCCCUAGUACCAGGCNUUUCANCUUCGCGCGGCGAANAUNGCCUU